UCUUUUUAUUUUAGUAACAAACUACAUGUCUUAGAUAAAUUGAUUAAAAAUACAAUUGAUAAUGAAUUCAUCCGUGAGAUAAAGUAAUUGAGGUAUCAUUCAAAAAUAUAAUGUUGUAUUAGCCUUGAGACUAUUAAUCGUGUUUCCAACCAUGAAAAUUUCCAUUAAAGCCAGUUCCAGAAUACAUGAAAGGACAAGAGAGGCACUAGUUUAAAUCACCGGCCACCCAUUCAAUAAAAUUUUAUUUUACUUUUAAUUCAUUAUACAAUCUCAGGCCAUCCAUUCAAUAAAAUUUUAUUUUACUUUUAAUUCAUUAUACAAUCUCAGGCCACCCAUUCAAUAAAAUUUUAUUUUACUUUUAAUUCAUAAAACAUUGUUAAAAAAAGCAACUACUUACUAUUAAUUAAUUUGAUUGAUUUCUUACCCCUACUAUCAUACUAUGAUCAAUUUAGAAACUGCCCUAUUCCAAUUUAAACUAAAAUUAUGUAAAAGUUUAUAGUUUUUGUGUUUCAGACCACAAUAAAUGUGACUUUUGAUCAU
rnacentral:lncRNA from 1 species